rnacentral:lncRNA from 1 species
UUUUUGUUAUACUCCAAUACAAAUAGACCACGUCAGAGACUCUUCAGAAAACUACCUUUUGGGUAAUGGGACAGCUGUUACAUAAAGUAACUGCCAACGUUCCCACUAGCCAAGCUAUUCAGAAGCAAAGAAUAACACUUCUGAAGUUUUAGUGCUGACGUCAUCUUCAGAAGCACAUUUUCCUCAGAACCUCAGUUAAGAGCUUCUGAUGAACCAAAAUGCUUCUGAAUAAACUUCAGAACCAAACUUCUUAUUCAGAGGCAAGCAAUUUUUCAAUCAGACACAAAAUGCAUGUUCAAAUUUUUCUUAAUAAAAUCAAAUCUUUCAACAGACAAAGGUUUUGUAAAUAUAUCAGCCCAUUGAUGUUCAGUAUCAAUGAAUUGUAUAUCUAAAAUUCCUUUUUGAACAUAGUCUCUGAUAAAAUGGUGUUUGAUUUCAAUAUGCUUGGCUCUUGAAUGUAGAAUUGGAUUCUUUGACAAACAAAUAGCAGCAGUAUUAUCACAAUAAAUGGGAAUACUGUUAGCAUUGAUCUGAUAGUCUUCCAACU